rnacentral:rRNA from 1 species
CAGUAGCCGCGGUAAUACGAAGGGGGCUAGCGUUGCUCGGAAUGACUGGGCGUAAAGGGCGCGUAGGCGGCGAUCAAAGUCAGGCGUGAAAUCCCUGGGCUCAACCUGGGGGCUGCGUUUGAUACUUGAUUGCUAGAGUGGGGAAGAGGGUCGUGGAAUUCCCAGUGUAGAGGUGAAAUUCGUAGAUAUUGGGAAGAACACCGGUGGCGAAGGCGGCGACCUGGUCCUUGACUGACGCUGAGGCGCGAAAGCGUGGGGAGCAAACAGGAUUAGAUACCCCUGUAGUCCCUGUCUCUUAUAC